AGAGUUUGAUCCUGGCUCAGGAUUAACGCUGGCGGCAUGCCUAAGACAUGCAAGUCGAACGGAACACCCCACUGAAACUUGAAUGAAGUUAGAGAGCUUGCUCGAAGAUGGAAUGACGGUGGACGUGGAUUCUGUGUUCAGUGGCGAACGGGUGAGUAACACGUGGGUUACCUGCCUCUAAGUUGGGGACAACAAUUGGAAACGACUGCUAAUACCGAAUGUGAUAGUAAUAUUAAAGGAGCCUUUAAAGCUUCGCUUAGAGAUGGGCCUGCGGCGUAUUAGCUAGUUGGUGGGGUAACGGCCUACCAAGGCGACGAUGCGUAGCCGGACUGAGAGGUUGAUCGGCCACACUGGGACUGAGACACGGCCCAGACUCCUACGGGAGACAGCAGUUAGGAAUAUUCGGCAAUGGGGGAAACCCUGACCGAGCAAUGCCGCGUGUGAGAUGAAGGUCCUCUGGAUUGUAAAUCACUUUUAUUUGGGAAGAAUUGUAAGUAGAGGAAAUGAUACUUACUUGACGGUACCUUUUGAAUAAGCCCCGGCUAACUACGUGCCAGCAGCCGCGGUAAUACGUAGGGGGCGAGCGUUAUCCGGAUUUAUUGGGCGUAAAGCGUGCGUAGACGGUUUAUUAAGUCCAGAAUUAAAGCCCGAGGCUUAACCUCGGUUCGUUCUGGAUACUGGUAGACUAGAGUAUGGUAGAGGCAAAUGGAAUUCCUAGUGUAGCGGUGGAAUGCGUAGAUAUUAGGAGGAACACCAGUGGCGAAGGCGGUUUGCUGGGCCAUUACUGACGUUGAGGUACGAAAGCGUGGGUAGCAAAUAGGAUUAGAUACCCUAGUAGUCCACGCUGUAAAC
rnacentral:rRNA from 1 species